AUAUCUUUCAUAUGAUUAAUCUGAGAGGGGCUUGACUUUCUCUUACUGGUUCUAUACUACCAUUAGCCAUUUGCUGGCAGAAUGCCCACAGACCACAGGAAAUCUAACCAUCCCAUAAAGAAAACGUAUCAGUGAGUGUCUUUUAGUUAGCCCAAAGAGGGGAAAGAUGAAUGGUCUGAGAGCCUCCAACAAGACCUACACAAGGAUCUUGCAUGCCACGCAGCCCAAGCAUGGCGGCCUCCACCCUUGACUUGGCUAAUGUGCUGUAUGUCACCUUUUUCUGCUUUCCAGUGCAAUGGGCCUUGCAUCGGGCCUCACCUAGCUGUGCAACACAGACAAGUCUUCUGCCAGACACGGGAUGGCAUCACCUUACCAUCAGAGCAGUGCAGUGCUCUUCCGAGGCCUGUGAGCACUCAGAACUGCUGGUCAGAGGCCUGCAGCGUACACUGGAGAGUCAGCCUAUGGACCCUGUGCACAGCUACCUGCGGCAACUAUGGCUUCCAGUCCCGGCGUGUGGAGUGUGUGCAUGCCCGCACCAACAAGGCAGUGCCUGAGCACCUGUGCUCCUGGGGGCCCCGGCCUGCCAACUGGCAGCGCUGCAACAUCACCCCAUGUGAAAACAGUAUGUUCCAACCCCAAAGAACCUUCUGCAAAUUCCCCAUAGAGCAUCGAGUGCAGAGAACAGUCCCUGGGACAGACCCUGAGCAUAGGGCAUGGGGUCAGCUUCCCCAGGGAUUGUGAGCUGGUGGUGGAGUUGAGCAUUUUUAGUGGGCUGGAUGGGUAUAUGCGGAUAGGUGUAUAUAGGCAUGACAGGGUAUUCCCCAAGGGCUUCCACGAUCUCCAUCCUGGCCCUGAGAGAGCCAGGUGCUAUUGGCCCAGUGCUGGAGGAAAUCAGCCUCCAGUUCCCCUGCAGUCAGUCUGGCUGGUGCCCACAGGGGUUGACUCAUCAACAACUCUCAGGGGUCAGGCUACUAAACAGAAAAUGCUGUUAACUCUAAAGGAGCACAGAGUGCCUCCUGCUCAGCCAACCAGCUCUGCGCCCAUCACAGCUCUGCUUCUCACCCAACACGGACCAGAUGACCCCCUCCCUCCCAACCCCACAGGCAUCCCCUGGAACUGUCCAGGACCCCCCCAGCCUUGGAAUUUGAUACUCACUUCACUCCUUCCUCCUCAUCCCAAUACCAUCAUUUGUAUUCCAGUUGGGAAGGAGUUUAUUUUUUUCUUCCUCUGAACCCAAAUCAGAGGUACUUACCCAUGAGAAAGGCAGCAAAGCUUGAGGCAAAGAGUAGGAAGUAAAAACCAAAUGUAGCUGUGCAGUUUUUGUAGCUGUUGUUUUCUCCCAAACUGGGCCUCACUGAGCAAUAAAUUCCCAACACUAAGGCAGAUGCCAUGUAGGCAAAUAGCCCACUUCUUUUUACACGCUGGGGGAUGGAUGAUCUCUGUACUCGGGUAGUGUUAACCCAUGUUUGUGUCAGUGGCUCACCAUGCUCAGAGAGAACCAGUAUUCAAUGCACAUAGUUAAAACUUACCAAACCAAGUCAGCACAAUAUUUAAGACCAUCUAGUCUGUGCCAACACUGAACUAGAACGUCCUGGUGCUGUGUUUAAGGCAUGAUGGGUAGAAGGAGGAGAGACUGGAGGGCACAUGAAAAUAAAGCUUAACGGAGAAAGUAGGCCCAAGUACCUGGGGAUGGGGGCAUCCGACGCAAGUCUCACUUGCACACUCCUGCAAAGUGGGAGAGAACGCAGUGCUGGGAACCAUCUUGAGGAGGAGAGUCAUUUACUUAAAAUACCAAAACCCAUGGGAAAAGGCAGGUUUGCCUAGGAGGAGAGGUGGUCACCUAGGAGAUGAGGUAAUCCCAAGAAGAUAGAGAAAACAGGCACCUUCAGGAAGUAGAGGGAGCUGCAGAAAACAAGCAGACAGCCCAGGGAGGGGCCCCAUCAUUCAGCCAGACAGCUGCAGGCUGGUGCCACCCCUGCUGUUGGCAGCCUUGGGGAGCAAGUGGCUGAGCUCUGUCAAAGUGAGGCUGGAGAGCGGUGGCCAAGGCAGACCCCAGGAUGUACCCCAGUGGCCCAAACCCCCAGCUGCACCUCACACAAGCUGCGUUCAUUAGUCUCUGUUUCACAUCUCUUUUCUGUCUCCUCUCCCGACCCUGUCCUCCUUUCCCAGUGGAGUGCAGAGACACCACCAGGUACUGCGAGAAGGUGAAACAGCUGAAACUCUGCCAACUCAGCCAGUUUAAAUCUCGCUGCUGUGGAACUUGUGGCAAAGCGUGAAGAUAGGGCGUGGGGAAAAACUCUACCCUGGCCACACGAAGGACUCACGCAACCACCUCGGACAGAACCUAAGCUUUGUUCAUUUUAUUUAUUUAUUUCCCCCUCCGCACCCCACACACACCCUUCCAACCUCCUCCACCUCCACCCUCAAGCAUGAGGACGUCCGCAUGUUUUCUCUUUCAGUUAGCUGGAGGACAGGAUGUUGGGAAAGGAAAGGACAGAUGUCUAAAGGAGGUUGCAGAGCAGGCCAGGCAGACAAUGGGGGCUCCCUUGAAGAGCUUCCUCCCUCCCAAACCUGGGUCUCAAAGACCUAGGAAGAGGCAGGCACAGCCCCUGGGGACAGCAGGGAGCCAGAAGGUUUGUAGCCUAUUGGUGCAAACAUUGGACAAAUUCCUGUGUCUUUCCUAGAAGCGCACUAUCACAAACACAGGAGUGUGUUGCUCCUUUGUCUCCUCUUCCCCAUCUGUCCCUUUAGUCAUGGUUAGGACAAAUGGGGAGGGGACACCAUGCUGAGGCAGAAACUAGCCCAGAACUCAUUUAUUCUAGUGGGGGAGUGCAGAGAGAGAAGAACUCAAAUCACCAGUAGGGAGAGGUAAAAAAGCAAACAAAAGCAGGCCCUAAGGCACACAACAUUGCAGAAAAUGAGGACAGGAGGGGAGGGAAGGGACAGAAGCAAAAAGGAGCCUGUGGUGUUCCCCAGUGGGGCAGGGUGAGCAGGGGCUUCCAGGCUGCACGAGGCUCCUGGACUGGCUCUGAUCCCAUGCAUGUGCGCAUGCUCAGAGCCCUGCUGCCAACAACAGAGCACUGCGCUGCGUGGGAGUCCGCACUCCCCAGGCUAUCAGAGUCAACGUCCUGCCUGUGCAGCUGCGGCAAAGCCAGCAAGAGGUGGGUCUGGCCAUGCAGUAAGGCCACCCUGGCACCUGUUUAUCUAAAUCAGAAGUCCCCCAGCCCCACACUAACUGCUGCUGUGGGCCAGGGCAAAUGGCCCAGGUUUUCUGCCUUCUAGGACCUUUGCUGCUCCACUGAAGGGCCAGGGACUAUGGUCAACUUGUCAACAUCCACCCAUUAACUAGUCACUGUGCCAGAGAGUAUCUAUCUGUCAGGCUGUCAGGUUGUAGCAACCUCUUCAUUCCAGAGCUGGCCAGGGACCGGGUUGGGACAAUGGGUUUAUGAGUGUCCACAGUACACCCUCCCUCUCCCAGCCUCCACCCCAGGGUUUGCAGGCCCUCCCGCAUGUAGUAUUUAUCUAGCAAGGUAGGGUGGUGGAGGCAGCACCCUGGCAAAGCAGCUCACACACUGCAGCCACACUCAUCAGCUGUGGUGUGGUGAGGCGGCCGGAGCAAAGUCAAGCAGCAAAAUGAAAACUCUGGGACUCUUUGGUAAAGUCCUCAUUAAGCCGAGCAGCUUUGGCCAAGUAAUUUUUGCCUCCUUCCCCCGAGUGGCCUGAGUUUAGGAGCAAGGGUGGCCAGAGUCCCUUACCCACAGAUAAGCCUCCCCUCAUGAAAUGCCACUCACCCCGGGCUACCAUUGACAUCAGGGCUGCAUUUUCCAGCCAGCCUGGAAGUAAAAUUUGAGAGGAAGACAAUAUUAAUCUGUGUCCCCCCCUAGUGAGCUGUGGACAGUUAAGUUGGGUCUCUUUCUUCCUCACCACAAAAACAGGCUCUAAGAAAUCACGUUACUAAAAAAUCAGUGUAACGUCUGUUUAAAAUAAAAAAAGAAUGUUUUGUAUGUCUGUAUAUCUUUUGUGAAUAUUUAUUAGGAUUUCUUGUAUAAAAAAGUGCAAUAUUAAUAAUUGUACAUUGUCAUCCAGAAGCAAAACUAUUUGGGGGGACUUUAUUAACUUCCUGCAGUUGUGUUCCUGUAAACUCAGUAGUGAUUGAUUAUUAUACUUUUCCUAUUUUUAAUAGAACCUGGUGUUUGUUUAACUCUGGAUCCAUUCACUGUACAGGAUGUGUUGUAAAAACUAACAUGGGAUGCUGAGGCAGUAAGAGGGAAUUCAUUUGUGGCAUAAUAGUUAUGCAUGGAAUGAUAAAGACAAAUUCCAUACUGCUACUUCUGCGGUUAAUUAUUUCUAGUUCGAUACGAUUGAAAAUCAGUGGUCACUAUUUACAGUUCCUAAAGAGCAAGCAUCCUCCAGCUCCAUGUUGGGUUGGAGCAGUUGGCAGUGGGUCUCAGUGAGCUGGCAGAACCUAGGUUUGGGUGGGGAGCAGAAUGCUCAUUGCAUGAAAUGAAUGUACAUUUAAUGUUUGUUUGUUCUGUGAAUUGCAACUCAGCAGCACCACAAGACAAUGAAGGCUGCUGGCUAAUGUGGAAGGAGGCACUUUCUCCUCUAAAACACAGAACUGUAUUUGUAUUUUUUGUACAGAUAAUACAGCUUAUUUAUUU
rnacentral:sRNA from 1 species